CAUAGAUCUAGUUGUUACCACGGAAACCCUGGUGGUAUAGUGGUUAAGAGCUAACGCUGCUAACCAAAACGUCAGCAAUUCAGAUCUACCAGGUGCUCCUUGGAAACUCUAUGGGGCAGUUCUACUCUCUCUUAUAGGGUUGCUAUGAGUUGGAAUCCACUCCACGGCAAGGGGUUUGGUUUGGUUUUGGUAGCUGUUACCAUAUAUUACCAAAUUUGUGUUUAAAAAUUUGUUCCAAUUUGCACUGUCUCCAAUAGCGUAUACAUGCAACAGUAUCACCAUACCUUCAUCAGCCCUGGGUAUUAUGUGCGGAUAAACUUUUAUCAAAUCAUGGUCCCUACACAGUCUCACCAGUUCACAUGUCUUCACUAAUUAAUCCUACUACAUUUAAGGCCAGACUCCCCUACCUGUAAACAUACAUGACAUUGCCUAGCACAGUUCCUAACACAUUCUUUUUUUUUCAGUUGCCAUGGAGUCUGUUCUGACUUAUAGUAACACUGAAGUGUCAGAGUAGAACUGAGCUCCAUAGGGUUUUCAAUGGUUGAUUUUUUCAGACCAUCAGCCCUUUCUUCCACGGCAUCUCUGAGUGGACUUCAGCCUCCAUAGCCCUUAACCACUACGCCACCAGGGCUUCCCACCAGGGUUUAGGCACCCAUUUAAAAGGCUCACUGAGGGCAAGUUUCCACACUCCCCCCUAAGGUUUGCAAGGUACAGAGCCUGGCGCCUAACAGACAUCAGAUGAGCAAAGCCUGAGGGGAGAACUGGCAUCCACUCCACACCUACCAGGGCCAAGCAUCAUGGGAGGCCUUUAUUUACAUUAUCUCAUACUGGCUGCAUCACACCCCUGUGAGGAGGCUAGAAGUCCAAAUUCACGGUGCCAGCUCCAGGGGAAAGCUUUCUCUUUCUGUUGGCUCUUGGAGAAGAUCCUUGUUAUCCAUCUUCCUCAGUUAUGAUUCUCCAACAAAAACGAGAAAACAGGCCAUCUAAGAUACAUCAAUUGGUCUCAACCCACCUGGAGCAAAGGCAAAGGAAGAACACCAAGGUCACACGACAACUAAGAACCCAAGAGACAGAAAGGGCCACAUGAACCAGAGACCUACAUCAUCCUGAGACCAGAAGAACUAGUUGGUACCCGGCCACAAUCGAUGUCUGCCCUGUCAGGGAGCACAACAGACAUCUCCUGAGGGAGCAGGAGACCAAUGGGAUACAGACCCCAAAUUCUCAUGAAAAGACUAUACCUAAUGGUAUGAUUGCGACUAGAGGAAUCCCAGAGACAAUGCUCCCCAGAACUUCUGAUGGCACAGGACAGGAACCAUCCCCGAAGACAAAUCAUCAGGCAUGAAAAGCACUGGUCAGUGGGGGGGGGAGAGAUGCUGAUGAAGAGUGAGCUAAUUAACUCAGGUGGACACUGGAGAGUGUGUUGGCAACUCUUGACUGGAGGGGGGAUGGGAAGAUAGAGAGAGAGGGAAGAUGGCAAAAUUGGCACGAAACGAGAGACUGUAAGGGCUGACUCAAUAGAGGGAGAGCAAGUGGGAGAAGGGAGUAAGAUGUAUGUAAACCUACAUGUGACAGACUGAUUGGAAUGGUAAAUGUUCACUUGAAGCUUAAUAAAAAUUAAAAAAAAAACGAGAAAACAUUAAGUCUGCCUGUAUCUUUUUAGAAAUACCUUUCAUUUGUCACUUACCUGUAGAAACAUUUCAAUAGCUAAAUAUUCAACUCGCAUAUUCAAGCACAUUGAAAUAGGGCUACAUAAGUGAAGUUUUAUACCAUGUCUAUAAACCAGGAUUUUUCCGGGGUAUUACAUUUGUCCUAAUAAAAUAAAACAGAGAUUAAGAACAAUCAUGUAGUGCUCAUUUCUACAGCUAAAUAAAAUAAGACUCCAAAGACCCAAGUAUCUUGCCUAUUCUUGCAUAGUAGGCAGCAGAGCCUUGACUCAAACUCUGGUUUUCUACCACACAUCAAGUAUUCUUUCCACAGUGCUUCCUUUCAUUUGGAGUUAUCUCAACUGAAAACACUCAAAUUUGUUUUCUCACUAUGAUGGGUUGAAUUGUGUCCCCUAAAAAAAGAUAUGUUGAAGUCCUUACCCCAGUACCAGUGAAUGUGACAUUAUUUGGUAAUAAGGUCUUUCCAGAUGUAAGUAGUUAACAUGAAGUCAUACCAGAGUAAGCUGUCCCUACUCCAACAUGACUGGUGUCUGUACAAAAAGAGGAAAAGAGACACAGACAGACACAUAGAGGGAAUAUGGCCAUGUGAAGACAGAAGCAGAGAUUGGAGUGAUGCAUCCACAAGCCAAGAACUGCCUCGGACCACCAGAAGCUGGAGGAGACAAGGAAGGAUCCUCCAAUAGAGCCUUCAGAGAGAUCAUGGCCCUGCUGACUCCCUGAAUUCAGACGUAUAGCCUCCAGAACUGUGAGGCAAUAAAUUUCUGUGGUUUCAAGCCAUCCAGUUUGUGGUACUUUGUUCUCACAGCCCUGGGAAACUAACACAUUUCCCUCCUAGAAAGUUUCCUCAGUUGUGACCUGUGCAUAUUAUUUUAGUAGGAAAUUAUUUCUUAUAAAAUUCGUAUAUAGCUUUCGAUUUUAUGGCACCCUUUCCUAGAGGUUCUAAUAAUUAAUGUAGCUUUCAAAGGAGUAAAUUCUUGUAGAAGUCCUAUGUGUUAGGAAGCAGAAAUGAUGACUGUACUAUGAUAUAAAUCAACAUUCUAAUAGUUAAAAUAAAUAGGUACACUCAUUCAUAAGUGUCACAAAGUACUCCAAACUGAAUAGGAAGGAAUAUCUGAGUGGAACUGAUAACAGCCAAGCCUGAAGAGGAAGCACAAGAGCCCAUUACAAGCUAUUGAAAAGUUCCAUGGGGGGGGGAAAUGACAUACAGCAGGAAAUUCCUGGCCGGUCCUGUAAUCUCUUAACAUAAAUGUGUUGACAGAUAAAUGGAUUUUUAUGAUUUUGCUUAUGCCUGCUGCUUAUGGCCCCUUCAGGUAUGUCACCUUGUAAGUGUGUUAGAACUCUUCUUUAACCCUAUUUACCAAUGGUAUGAUUCAAUAAAUUGUAGGUUCAUCACAAUCCCCUCAAAAUACUCUUGGCCUUUUGCCCAAAAGUGGGGGAAGGUAUUACUAACUAAUAUACCAAAGAAAUUUCUUGUAAAUUAGUCUCAGGAAAAGUAAUAUAUUGAGGAUUCCAUAUAGUCGUACCAUAAUUUAUUACUGUGGUGUACAAGGAAUUUGGCAGUGAAAAUUUCAAAGUAGUGAUUAAGGCCACUACUAUAGGACUAUGAACAUGGUACUGGGAAGGAGAGAGCUAAAAGGGCAGUGAAAUAACUAUUUAUUGAACUCCACCUAUAUAUUAAAUGCUGAUAGAGACAUUUUUCUUACAUUAUUUCAUUUCAUCUUCAUAACAAUACUGCAAAAUAGGUAUUAUCCUAAUUGUACAGAUCAGAAAAUUGAGCUUCUAAGAAACCAAGUUAUAUAAUCUAUAUCCUCCCACUUCCUAGGCAGGCCUGGAUUUAGAAUUCUGGCUCUACCACUUUCUGACUGGGCAACAUUGGGCAAGUUACUCAACCACUCGCAGCCUCACUUUCCUCACCAUAAAAUGAGAGUGAUGCUACCUACCUCAGCACUUCAUAAGGUGUCUGCGAAAUGCUUACGAAACUGCAAAACAAAAUACAAGUGGUGGUUACUAUUGCUAACACAAGCAAGUGAUUAACUAAUAAGAGAAAAUGAAAGGCACUGAUUACCAAACUGUUUCCACAGGAACUUUGUUUUCGAAUGCUUGAUUGUGUAAUACUGAGCCAUGAAUCCUUCAGGUUCGUUGUCAAUGAAUCAUUUCCUUCAUAUUCACAUGAACGAUAUGCCUGGCCUGGGUAGGUUAGGUCCCCACCCUGCUUUAUCUUAAUAACCCCUGCAUUGCAUGUAAGCAAAUAAUUAGUAUUGUUUAGAAUUUCACUUAUAUGAGUCUACAAUUCUUCUCUGCAGAUAUUUCCAGCACAAAGGACAGGAAUUAUUUGACACUGAGUUUACAAUGACAAGUUCUAUGGCUGGAAAAUGAGACGCAAAAGGGCAAGAGUGUUAACCAAUGGUUUUCAAUCUUUUUUGAUUGUCAACUGAAUGUGGUUUUCAAAUCCAAUCAUCUGUGGAUCUACAACAUGAAAACAGAUUGUAAAAAAUCUCUCUUAUUAGAUUAUUUUAGUUUAAAUUUAUAAUGUGCAUUUAUUAUAAGAUUAAUCCAUGCAAACAAUGAGUUUUAAGAAACAAAAAAUUUGAAAUAGGAGGCUAUUCAUGACAGUUAUGCAAAUCUUAAAAU